UACAUAGGUCACGAGCGUUAUCCGGAAUUACUGGGCGUAAAGGGCUCGUAGGCGGCCAACUAAGUCGGAUGUGAAAUCCCCAAGCUUAACUUGGGAACUGCAUCCGAUACUGGAUGGCUUGAAUCCGGGAGAGGGAUGCAGAAUUCCAGGUGUAGCGGUGAAAUGCGUAGAUAUCUGGAGGAAUACCGGUGGCGAAGGCGGCAUCCUGGACCGGCAUUGACGCUGAGGAGCGAAAGCUAGGGGAGCAAACGGG
rnacentral:rRNA from 1 species